rnacentral:rRNA from 1 species
UCAAUACGACUCUCGGCAACGGAUAUCUCGGCUCUCGCAUCGAUGAAGAACGUAGCGAAAUGCGAUACUUGGUGUGAAUUGCAGAAUCCCGUGAACCAUCGAGUCUUUGAACGCAAGUUGCGCCCAAGGCCUUUCGGUCGAGGCACAUCUGCUUGGGCGUUAAACA